GAACGCUGGCGGCGUGCUUAACACAUGCAAGUCGAACGAUGAAGUUAUGACGGAGGCUUCGGCCGACAGAAUAACGGAAUAGUGGCGGACGGGUGAGUAACGCGUGAGUAACCUGCCUUUCAGAGAGGAAUAACAUUUGGAAACGAAUGGUAAUACCACAUAACAUUACGUUCUCGCAUGGGGAUGUAAUCAAAGAUUUAUCGCUGAGAGAUGGACUCGCGUCCGAUUAGCUAGAUGGUGAGGUAACGGCCCACCAUGGCGACGAUCGGUAGCCGGACUGAGAGGUUGAACGGCCACAUUGGGACUGAGACACGGCCCAGACUCCUACGGGAGGCAGCAGUGGGGAAUAUUGCACAAUGGGGGAAACCCUGAUGCAGCAACGCCGCGUGAAGGAAGACGGUCUUCGGAUUGUAAACUUUUGUUCUUGGUGAAGAUAAUGACGGUACCUAAGGAGGAAGCCCCGGCUAACUACGUG
rnacentral:rRNA from 1 species